CCUGGCCCUGAACCCCAGCCCAGACCCUGGCCCUGAUCCCGGCUGAAGCCCGGCCCGGACCCCAGCCCUGAUCCCGGCCAGACCCUGGCCCAGGCCCCUCCAAAGCCCAACACAAACCAUGAACUCGGCUGCCCCCUCACAGGUCACAAGAGCCCAGAGUCGCGAGCCUGCUUGCCUUCUCUGCUCAGGGUCGCAGUGCUGCUGGGGGAGGACCGCCGGCUGAGCCGAGGCCUGGCCUCGGGCCCUCCAGGCUGCUCACCCCCUCCCACCCUGCACUUCCUGCUCCCAGAGGCUGCUCCAAAGACAACGCCUCGACCGGUGCCAUGGCCGAGAACACCUGCACCGUCCGCGUGACUGAGCCCAGGCGAGGCCUCCGCAUACACCAUCACCACGUGGGGUGCGGAUCAGAGACCCAGUCGUCCGGCGGCUGCCUGAGAUCAAACCUGUCCCCCGCCAGCCUGGAGGGACGUCGCUGUCUCCCGUCUCUCCCUGCCAUCCACCAACGGGGUUGGUUAUAGAUCACACCCAAGGAGCCUGCACCCUCGACCCUCAGGUCUGGCCAACAGAGGGGGAGCCCUAGGAGAAGGGGCAAGUGCCCCAUCAGGAAGGGCGUGGGCGGGGUCGCCUGAAUGACCUCGGAGGGCUUGCGGGCUCCUGGGAGGAACUGAGCCCGUGAGUGCAUUUCAGGGAGACGCAGGUGCUCCUGCCCUGGAGGUGGGAGGUCCAGGGCACCUGCCUCUUGGGGCUUCCCCGCUGACCCUGGGGACCAGGAGAGAGGCUGGGCCCCGAAGAGGGCUCCCGACCCGGCCUGCCCCCGUGUCUUUCCCAGGUGCUUCCAUCCCCAGUCCUGCCCUGCCCCCUGCCCCCUGCCCCGUGUCCUCCCCCCGACCCCUCCCUCCUGCACCUCUGCUCUCCGCUGACUCCUCUGGCGGCCCGGGGAUCCCAGCGAGACUGUGCCCCAACCCCUCCCAUCUGGAGGUGCAGGCCGGCUCUGGCUGCCCAAGUGAGGGCAUCUGGCCCCAUCAGAAAGUUCCACAGAGGGACAGCUGACCUGACCUCCUGGCCUUGACCUUGGCCUUGACCGUGACCUUGGUCCAAGUCCCAGUCCUGCUGCACUCACCCCAGAUUCGGGGGCUCCCCGGGGCCAUCGACCACCUCUCCCCGGCCAGGAAGGGCAGUUCCCCCGACACCACGGGCUCGGGGCCUGCGAUGUCCUUACACAGGGCUCUGCGAGCCCCGCCCGCUACUGCGACCUACUUUCCUUCCCGGCCCCAUAAAAUCCAGCUAGGACGUCCCCCAGGCUCACGGCUGUGACAGACAGACCCUCGGACGGACAGGCAUGUGGCAGAGAACGAGGGUGGGGGCCCCCAGCGCCUGCCCUGGGCUGCGGGGACUCGAUCCGCAGUGAUUUCCUGCCCAGACUUGGACUCCAGACCCUGAGGGGACAAGCCUCCUCCCCCGACCCCGUUUCAAAACCCAGAGAUGGCCAUCAGACAACUCAAUCGGAAAAAGAUCAAUCGGAAAAAUCAGCCCGGAAUCAUGCUCACCACAACGUUACCAGGGGUUGUUUCUGGGUAAUAAUAUUUUGGGCAAUCUUUUUUGAGUUUACUUAUUUUGAGAGACAGAGAGAUGGGGUGGGGGGAAGAGGGGAGAGAGAGAGAGAGAGAGAGAGAGGGAGAGAGGG